rnacentral:rRNA from 1 species
GAUGAACGCUAGCGGGAGGCUUAACACAUGCAAGUCGAGGGGCAUCUCGUGGUAGCAAUACUGGAGGCGACCGGCGUACGGGUGAGUAACGCGUAUGUAACCUACCCUUACCGGGGGAUAGCUCCCGGAAACGGGAAUUAAUACCCCAUGAGGUUUCGGAGGCGCAUGCUUUCGGGAUCAAAGCUACGGCGGUAAAGGAUGGGCAUGCGUAGCAUUAGCUAGUUGGUAGGGUAACGGCCUACCAAGGCUACGAUGCUUAGGGGACCUGAGAGGGUGUACCCCCACACUGGAACUGAAACACGGUCCAGACUCCUACGGGAGGCAGCAGUGGGGAAUUUUGGACAAUGGGGGCAACCCUGAUCCAGCCAUUCCGCGUGAGUGAAGAAGGCCUUCGGGUUGUAAAGCUCUUUCAGCUGGAACGAAACGGUGCGCUCUAACAUAGCGUGCUAAUGACGGUACCAGCAGAAGAAGCACCGGCUAACUACGUG